CAACAUUUAUUAAUCAAACUUUUGUUCAACUAAAAGUAAAAAUGAACAUGAGUUGUAGUUUAGUCCUCUUCAACAGAAUCCUCCUACAUAGCAUGGAUAAUCUCCUCACAUUGAGCAAGUAUUUCGAAAGGACGAAACAUCAUUGUUAUUUUGAUCCAUUAGUUGGUGAAGAUCAAGAGUAAUAAUACCAACUAUAAGUGAAUUGUAAUUCACAAGAAAGUAUAAUACACUAUCAUAAAUCUAUUCUAAAAAAACACAGUACUUAUUGAUCGAACUUUAGUUCAAUAAAAGAUAAAAUUUGUGGUGUAUUCUCUAAUAUAAACCUCCUACAUAGCACGGACAAUCUCCUCAUGUUGAGCAUGUAUUUAUCGAUCAGAUGACCGAGAAUACAAAACGAUAUUGUUACUUUGAGCCAUUUGUUGGUCGAGAUCAAGAGUAAUAAUACCAACUAUAAGUUAAUUAUUAACAUCUGCAAUAAAUGGUUGGUUUAUAUAAAAAGGUGAAAUUUCUUACAAGAUAUAAUCUUGUGGGUUAAUGUUUAUAUUAAAAAAAUAAAAUCAUGAUAUAAAAUCGCAUGUCCAAACACUAAUUUCAUAUCAUGAUCUCAAAUUACAAGAUGAAAUCACAUAUUCAAAUUCCUACUAACUAAAUGUAUAAUAAUUUUGACGAACACCAUAUUUUUUUUUGACGAAAACCCAAUUCUAUUGCUCCGACUUGGUAUUAGGUAACUUAGAUAAAAUUUCUCAUUUUUAACCUCCUCUUCCCCUUCUAGUUAUUCUUAUCCAAAAAUCCUACGUGUUCGUUAUAAUUGUCAUAUCUUUAUCCGAGUUAAUAAAUACCCCUAGAACAAAAAACAUAUGUGUUAUGAAUUUGAAUCAUCAAGAAAAUAAAAUAGAAAGAGAGCUUUUAAGAUAUUUUUUACUUUUUAGAUAUAAAUGUGAUAUUUUGGGGGGCAAUAAACUAUAAAUUAUUACCAUACCAUCAAUCAAUUACACCUAAGAGCGUCUAUACCCUUGGUUGUCAAAAAACAAAAUUUAGUGAACCUCAGAGCUAAUUAUAAAUUGCAAAAAGUAAAUGACUACACUAUCUCCUUCUCUUAGUUCCUUUGAACAUGUCUACCCUUUCUUUAACUACACUUUGGACUUGUUGAGCCACAAAAUUUGUCUGUACAAUUACCCCUUUUAAAAUUUUGUAAUUCCUAGUUAGCCAUGCUUGAUAUACUACUGCUCUUUAUCCUUUAGGGUGUCUUGCACACAUUGUGGUUCCAAAUUUAUUCCAAUAUACGUUUUAAUUACCCUUCAAGCAUCCCUAAACUAUAUACAUUCAGGACGCGCAUAAGUAUACAUUACACAUUCAACAUUACCCUAUCCAGCACCUAUCAUCUACAACCUAUCUUUGAAAUGUCAUCAAAUGGUUCAAAUGUCAUCAGGUUGUGAUCUUUUCUUUCUCAAAUGCAGCCUGAGUUUGGUUGACUAAACUAUGUAGCACUUGUUUAAGUCUACUAUACAUCAAUUUGGAGAUAUAUUUGCACACAAUAUUAAAGCAGGCAAAUGGUGAACUAACUUGCAUUUACAUGCUUAUUCACCUCAGGAAUUAAGAUGAUUACUAUGGCAUUAAGUUGUUGCAACAACUUACUAUUCUAAAAAAAAUCCAGAAUUACAUCUGUUAGCUAUGCCCUUACUAUAUCCCAAGAGUCUCUGAGGAAACCACUAUUAUAGCUUUCUUUACUUUCUUCAUUUUAUAACCAUUAAGUAAUGUCAUUUGUUAGGACACUAUCAAAAAACCAUAGAUAGUGUAGUCCCAAUCUUUAGGAACAUCUGGCAAGCUUUAUGUCUUGGUGUUUUUCCUAUUUCUCCAAGAAGUUUAGUGCAGUUCUGGAGAAAGAUCUCAAUAAUCUUUUGUGGCUCAGUAUGGGUUUACGUAUGAUCAUCUUGCAAUUGUAUCACUACCUGAGCUAGGCUUCUCUACUUUAGAACUGAGUAAAAGUACUUAGUAACAUCACCAAGCCAGAUCUAUGUAGCUUUGCUUCUUUGAACCAAUUGUUUUUCUGCCAUAUAACUCACUUUCUUGAACUCUUUUCCAACAUCUCUUUCUCCUUAUGCAAGUGAUGAUUACGGGUAUCAUUUUGUAACUUGUUAUGGACAUCUAAUAGCUUCCCUCUAAGGUCAGUUACUUCAGCCAAUAUAUUACUUAAAUGCUAAAAGUGUAUCCCCUCAGUACAAUUUUCAGCUUCUUAAGUUUAGUGGUGACUUUAUAUAUAUAAUGGCCUUUGACCUGGUACAGUUAUCCCUCUCUCAUCAUACAAUGGCCUUUGACCUGGUACAGUUAUCCCUGUCUCAUCAAGUUCUGAAACUAUUGGUGUUGACUCUACAUAUUAGAGUACUUAAAAAGAGGUCUUUUCCUUGGCACAAUACCUUCAAGUUUAACAUGAAUUGAGCUAUGGUCACUUACCCCUUCAUUGAGGAAAUAAUAGUUACACCUAAGCAUCUCAUCUACCCAUACACUAUUUAUUAAAGACCAGUCAAUAAUACCCUAUUAGUUUCUCCUUUAUCAUUCCAAGUUUAAUUACACCUAGUACUAUCUAUUUCCUCUUACAAACAAGUAUUUAGGCAUUUUUGAAAAUCAACUAGCUCUGCUAAAGAGACAAGGUUGCCCCCUACUCUAUCCCCACUAUGCUAUACUGAAUUGUAAUCCCAUAAAACCAACCAAGGGAUGUGCAUCCCAAUACUCAACUUACACAAAUAACUUCAUAGGUCUUUUCUUUCCCCUCUUCCAUUGUGGGCAUGUACAAAAGUGACAUGAAUUUUUGUUGUAGUUUAAAAUCUUUGACUAAGCAUGUCACAGCUUGAGCAUUCUUAGAACAAAUAGUAACUUCAGGUUUAUCUUCUCUCCAAUCAACCCAAAUUCUCCCAUUAUAGUGAGAGACGCGAUCAGAGUGAUACUUUUAGCCACUAAACAUACUAUCUGCUAUAUUUAUCUUAGCCUCAAGUAGACCAAAUAUAUAAGUUUUAACUGAUUACAGAAGAAUUUUACCUCGCUUUAUUUUAUGAGACCUCUAACAUUUCAACAGAUUAGGUUAACUAGUCCCCACAGAGAUUGGUCUAGUAUCAACCAUAUUUUUCACUCCAGUGUAUUCCACUUCCACAUGCUGCUCAAAGGUUUGAAAAGAGUUUGUUGUAGGAAUUGUUGAGGAAGAUGGAGGUUGUACAUUUCUCUUAAACACUCUCCUCUGAAUUCUAUUUCCUACAAUUUUUGCUCUUGGACCUUUUUCUUCCCUCUACCAACUUGAGUUGCAAUUGGUUUCCUCUCCAGCUGGUUACCUUUGGAUCUAGUUGCUUUUCGAGGUGUAAUUUCCUACAUUCCUCUAUUUUAUGACUAUACAUAUGAUAGUGUUCACAUAUGGAAGGCUUCCAAUCAUAAGUCACCUUCUGUGUGAGCCACUACUCUCUUUUCAUUCUUAAACAACACUUCAUCAGGAAAAUCUCCAUCCACCCUGACCUCAACAAGUAGCUUUCCAAAGCUUAAGCCCAGUUUUUUUAGGGUGUUGGUCAACCAUCAAAGGCUUCCCCACUAAGCUGCCUAUCUUACUAAGUCCUCUAACACUCUAGUAUUUAAAAUCUAAUCUGGAUAGCUUAAUCCAUAUAGGAACAGUCAAUAAUUACUCCUUCAAAAACUCCAUCUCUUGGGACUAAGCUUUGAUAAUAAGAGGUUUAUUGUCAAAAUAGUAGUUACCUCCUUGUAGAAUCUUUAAUUUACCCUCUUCUGUGUCAAAUCGAACCAAAACAAUACCAUAUUUCCCCAUAUAUCCAUUGUAUGUAACUAUUUAAGACAAAAAGGGAGGGUGAUAUCCUAGGACUUAACAGACAAUAAUGCUUUGCCAAUGAUCUAAUUCAGAGCUAAUAUCAUCCAAUUAAAUUUCCCCUAUCAGUUCGUCUCCUAUACUCUCAGGGUUAACAUAUUACAGUUUGAAACAUGAAUUAGCAAGUUUUGAUAUGUCGAAAGUUUUCCAAAUUGAAUUUACCUUCACAACAUGCCUUUUCUCAGAUCCCCUCAUCUGUGUGCCCCUAUUUAGCUGGUCAUCAACUUGAUCCAUCUCGUUUCCUCAUGAUAUUUUUGAACUUGCUCCAGAGAUAUGUUAUGUCCAUUCUUAGACUGUAGCUUCCACCAGAGUAGGAGGUAUCACUGGUGUAGAUAAAUUAGUUUGGGUCAUAAUUCUCGUGAUACUUUAUUGGUCAAUAAUCGCUAUUGCUCCAUGAGGCUUUGUUGGAAGAGGACCUCAAUUGAUUGACGUUUCCGAAUAAGAAUUGGAUGAUCACUUUUCACCGACAAGCUUGCCAUUGAACUUUUCGUCAGGGUUGCGUUCUUCGAUCUCCUCCCAUGGCUGGCGCACGUUAGUUACGUCAAAACAUCCACAUGUUAUUAUUAUUUAAAAUAUAAAAAAACUACAUAAACUAAC
rnacentral:lncRNA from 1 species